AAAAUGAAACUGAGAACUAAUCUCCUCUAAAUUAAGUGUUCAUUUACUUUUUUCUUUUUUAAAUGCUGUUCAGUGCAGGAAGACAUGCAGAUUGAGAAGCCUAAACAAGGAGAAGCAUUUCUUCAAAAUAUAGAUAGCACUUGGGAAAAGAGAAGAUAUUUAGUCCUUCUGAGGAGUAAGCAAGAUAUCAAAAGCACAUGUAAGUAACUUCUAACUCCAAGAGCAGGAAUGUAUCUAAAAAUUAUAAAUGUUAUUAGUUUUAUAGGAGACAGAAGGGAAAUUGUAAAA